rnacentral:rRNA from 1 species
UACGAAGGGGGCUAGCGUUGCUCGGAAUUACUGGGCGUAAAGCGCACGUAGGCGGCUUUCUAAGUCGGGGGUGAAAUCCUGGAGCUCAACUCCAGAACUGCCUUUGAUACUGAAGAUCUUGAGUUCGGGAGAGGUGAGUGGAACUGCGAGUGUAGAGGUGAAAUUCGUAGAUAUCGCAAGAACACCAGUGGCGAAGGCGGCUCACUGGCCCGAUACUGACGCUGAGGCACGAAAGCGUGGGGAGCAAACAGG